GUAAACCCAAGGUUUCCAGGGGAAGGUUCGUCCGCCCUGGGUUAGUCGGGACCUAAGCUGAGGCCGAAAGGCGUAGGUGAUGGACAACAGGUGGAUAUUCCUGUACUACCGAUAACCGUUUGAGAGAUGGGAUGACACAGUAGGAUAAGCUAAGCACACUGUUGGUUAUGUGUGCCCAAGCAUUGAGGCAGUCAAAGUAGGCAAAUCCGCUUUGAUAAUG
rnacentral:rRNA from 1 species